UUCGGAGAGUUUGAUCCUGGCUCAGGACGAACGCUGGCGGCGUGCUUAACACAUGCAAGUCGAACGGAAAGGCCCUGCUUGCAGGGUGCUCGAGUGGCGAACGGGUGAGUAACACGUGGGUGAUCUGCCUUGUACUUCGGGAUAAGCUUGGGAAACUGGGUCUAAUACCGGAUAGGACCAGCCUUUAGUGUGGUUGGUGGAAAGAUUUUUUCGGUGCAAGAUGAGCCCGCGGCCUAUCAGCUUGUUGGUGGGGUAAUGGCCUACCAAGGCGUCGACGGGUAGCCGGCCUGAGAGGGUGGACGGCCACAUUGGGACUGAGAUACGGCCCAGACUCCUACGGGAGGCAGCAGUGGGGAAUAUUGCACAAUGGGCGGAAGCCUGAUGCAGCGACGCCGCGUGAGGGAUGAAGGCCUUCGGGUUGUAAACUCCUUUCGCCAGGGACGAAGCUUUUGUGACGGUACCUGGAUAAGAAGCACCGGCUAACUACGUGCCAGCAGCCGCGGUAAUACGUAGGGUGCGAGCGUUGUCCGGAAUUACUGGGCGUAAAGAGCUCGUAGGUGGUUUGUCGCGUCGUCUGUGAAAUUCCGGGGCUUAACUCCCGGGCGUGCAGGCGAUACGGGCAAUACUUGAGUGAUGUAGGGGUAACUGGAAUUCCUGGUGUAGCGGUGAAAUGCGCAGAUAUCAGGAGGAACACCGAUGGCGAAGGCAGGUUACUGGGCAUUUACUGACGCUGAGGAGCGAAAGCAUGGGUAGCGAACAGGAUUAGAUACCCUGGUAGUCCAUGCCGUAAACGGUGGGCGCUAGGUGUGAGCCUCUUCCACGAGGUUUGUGCCGUAGCUAACGCAUUAAGCGCCCCGCCUGGGGAGUACGGCCGCAAGGCUAAAACUCAAAGGAAUUGACGGGGGCCCGCACAAGCGGCGGAGCAUGUGGAUUAAUUCGAUGCAACGCGAAGAACCUUACCUGGGCUUGACAUAUUUAGGAUCGCUGCAGAGAUGUAGUUUCCCUUGUGGCCUUUAUACAGGUGGUGCAUGGUUGUCGUCAGCUCGUGUCGUGAGAUGUUGGGUUAAGUCCCGCAACGAGCGCAACCCUUGUCUUAUGUUGCCAGCACGUUAUGGUGGGGACUCAUGAGAGACUGCCGGGGUUAACUCGGAGGAAGGUGGGGAUGACGUCAAAUCAUCAUGCCCCUUAUGUCCAGGGCUUCACACAUGCUACAAUGGUCGGUACAGCGCGCAGCGAGCUCGUGAGGGUGAGCGAAUCGUUUAAAGCCGGCCUUAGUUCGGAUUGGGGUCUGCAACUCGACCCCAUGAAGUCGGAGUCGCUAGUAAUCGCAGAUCAGCUACGCUGCGGUGAAUACGUUCCCGGGCCUUGUACACACCGCCCGUCACGUCAUGAAAGUUGGUAACACCCGAAGCCAGUGGCCUAUCCUUGUGAGGGAGCUGUCGAAGGUGGGAUCGGCGAUUGGGACGAAGUCGUAACAAGGUAGCCGUAAAUCGAAU
rnacentral:rRNA from 1 species